rnacentral:lncRNA from 1 species
AAAAACAGAAGCUCGGUUUUCUUCUCUCAUCUCUCCUCUCAUCCCCAAGCUCCUCUCUUCCUCUCGUCCUUCUCCCCCGUCCCCAAGCUUGCAUGUUUGCUCUCUCUCGUUUCCUCCUCCCUUCUUCGUGUCCUUACUCCUCCCUUUUCCCCAUAAUUUAUCAAUUUUUUAUCCUGUUUUGCAGUAGCUAGCGUGGUUGGUGGCGACGGCGGCAGCAGCUCCUCAAUCGACUUCUCCGGUAUUCUUACUGUCAAGGUAAGUAUUUCGUUGAACCACAUUAAGUAUUAAGAAUCUCAUUGCUUGAUUGAUAUUAGAUUUUUUUUAGUAAUAAUUGUGAAAAUUAUCAUAAACAAAAAUAAUAUACCUAUAGAGCACCUAAGAAACCAAUUUAGCUGCUUAGGCCUCUUCCAACAGCUAAUUACACAAUGUUUGAAACAAAAAACUACAUCUAUGAGAUUUGUUGGAUCCUUUUAAUAAAUCUACUCUUAUAUAAAUAUAUUGUUUUUAUUAUUAAAUUUGUAAUAGUUUUUAUAUAUGAACAUCCUAAUUAGUUGAAGUAGUUAUGGUUAAAAUCCCUAAGGAUUUUAACUUUUUAAUGAUACUUAAUGUGAUGAUAAGUAUAAAGCCCCAAUUUAAAGAUUGAAAACUCCUUUAAAUUAUAAUUGACUACUAUUACCUUUAUUGAAUGUUAAAGUUUAGCCCCACUAUAAUUUAUUGCUACUGUGAGUUGUUCUCAACUGAAGGCUUUUUACCUCUUAGCUGAGGACCUUUGGUUUGCUUUUUCAGCAAGCUUGUUCCAUCGGUUAGAAAGGAAUCAACUUAUAUAAAUCGACUUUUAAAAAAAGAAAUAGCUGAGGAAAGCAGUAAAAUUGCAAGUUCAACGUGUAAGUUCAUGGGAGUGUUCAUGAAAUUGCAUAUUAGUAUUAUUUAUGUAAUUUUUUAUUAAGAAUCACAAUUGACUGUUAUUUAAUAUGAAAUUGUAUUUAUUUUAUCUUUUUUUCGAUAAUCAUAUAGACUCUUGUCCAUAAAUAAAAUAUUAAGCAGUAGAGUUUUCCUCCCUUCAAAGUUUCCUAUUUAAAGUUUUUCUUUUCAUUUUCCUUUUCGGAUUUUUUCAUUUUCUGAUAUGAUAAUCUUGGAAUUAAGUAGGUUAAUUUAAUAUGAUGAUUUUAUAAAAGUAAUGGAAGUAUAAGUGCAAUUUAUUGGAUUAGUUUAGUUAUAUGGCAUAUACUGACAUGGAAGACAUAUGAAAUGAAGCAGUGACCAUAUAUCUCUGCAACCAUUACUUCUACUUUGCAAGAUAUAUGUACCCAUUGAGGAAUACUUUAUACAUUAGACUUAUAAUAUGUGAAUUUUUAAAGUAUUUAUCAUGAUUCAUGUAGGCAGAAUAUAUAGGUGAACCUGUCACGACUCAAAAUCUAUUAUUCGUGAUGACACCUAAUUCAAUUCGCUAGUUAAGCUAAUUAAUAAUUAUCCAAUAUCAAUAAUAUUAGAAAGAAAAUUAAACAAAGAAAUUAUCUGAAUCUUAUACCUUUCCUAAUGAUUAGUAAUACAAAUCAUGAGCUUCUAAGAAUAAAAUUUACAAAGCUAAUAUGAAGUAAAUACAUCUUCUUCUUCAAAAAUACAUGAACACAGUUUUCAUAAAUGUACGACUAUCAUGAAUUAGAGGCAGCUAUAGCCAAAACACAUGUACAUCUUCAAAUCCAACAACCAUUGAAUACAACAAAAAUAACAUCUAACAUUUGCAGGCAAUGUGCAGAAAUAUAGUAUCACUACAACCGACCUCAUGUACAGGUAAGUAACAAACCUAACUUUAGGUUGAAAGUAGUGAUGAGUUCUAACAAAGGUCGGGUCCAUAUCGCGACCCGGAUUUCCCACCCUCGAGAGUCGUGAUGGUACCUAUUAGUAAAAGCUAGGCAAGCCAACCAUUUGAAUUAUUUACCUUUUUCCCUUUUUUUAAUCCUUUAACAAUUAAGAACCAACAUUUUAUAAAUAACAUAAUUUAAUUAGCGGAAGACUGAAAUGUAAUACUUUAUUAAAGAUGCCAAUACCAAUCUAUACAUAAACUAUCCAAAACUGGUGGCAUAAUUUUACAGACUGUCUAAGAAUACUACAAAGAAGGUUUGAAAAACAAAUACAAUAUUAUCUCUGAAAUAUAUAAAUGAAACAGGAUGAAAGGAUAGAAAGAGAUGCCAAGGCCUGCGGACUACCUCGGAUCUCCGAAUAGACUGAAAGCAACAAUCCAAAGUUAAGGUCUGUAUGCUCCAAUAGCGGGAUCUGCACAUAGUGAAGAGUGUAGUAUCAACACAACUGACUCCAUGUGCUGGUAAGUGCCUAGCUUAACCUCGGCGAAGUAGUGACGAGGCUAGAACCAGACUAACAAAUAAACUUGUAUAGUUAAAUCAUAUAUAGUGGAAAGUAAAAAGCAGAUAUUUAUAGUUAAAGAUAAGGAGGGGAAAACAUGUUACAAGGAGUAUCAGAUAACAACAAAAUACCAAAGAGAAAUGUAAAGAAACAAUAAUUAGCUGCCAACAAUAAUGAAGAAAACACGCACACUAUUUAAUUUCAUUUCUUUCUUGUUGCAUGCAUACAACCCGACCCCAUUUCAUACAUUUCGUUGCAGGCAUGCAACAUGCUCCCAUUUCAUAUAUCUCAUUGCAGACGUGCAAUCGGCUCCCAUUUUGUAUAUCUCGUUGUAGACCUAUUUCAUAUAUUUUUCGUUGCAGGCAUGCAACCCGCUCCUAUUUUAUAUAUCUCAUUGCAGGCGUGUAACCUACUCCCAUUUAUAUAUUUCCCUGGCGGUGUGCUACCCGAUCCCAUUUACAAAUCAAUAUCAAUCAUAAAAGAAAUUCGACAACAGGACAAGAGUAUAACAACAACAUCCGGGUAAGGGAGGCAAUAUCAUAAAUAAUAACAUCCUGGCAAGGGAGACAACCAUAACCAGUAAUAUCCCAGCAAGGGAGACAAUAUCAUAAGCAAUAGCAUCCCGACAAGGGAGUCAAAAAUGAUAAUCAACAUGUUAUACAUGAAAAUCUUAGUGGAGUGACAACAUUUACAACACUAGACCUACGAGCAUGCUUGAAUCCGACGUAUAGAUACUCGUCACCAUGCCUAUGCGUCGUACUCCAUAAUUAACACAUAACAAUAAGACAUAACUCCUAAUUUCUCAAGCUAAGGUUAGACCAAGCACUUACAUCGAACUUCCUCGGAUAACUCAAGCCUCAAACACGCUUUUCCUUUAAAAUUCGCCUCCAAAUUACUUGCAUCUAGUCCAAAUAAAUUUAACAAUAUCAAUAAUUGUUAAAGAAACAAUAUUUACUAAAAAUUAUAAUAUUUCCUAAAUUUUCUCAAAAAAGUUAAAACUCGACCCCAGGCCCACAUGGUCAAAACUCGAGGUUUGAACCAAAACCUUGUUACCCAUUCACAUACGAGCCCAUAUGUGCAAUGAGUAUCGAAAUACGUUCCCAAAAUGAGGUCUAAAUUUUAAUUAUUCAAAAACCUCUAAUUCUACCCAAAUCCCUAAUUUCUACCAUGGAAGAACAAUAUUUAAUCCUAGAAAUCUAAUGGGUGUUGAUGGAAAAUGAAUGAGAUGAGUUUAAGAAGACAUACCGAUGAUUUGGAUUUGAAAUUGCUCUUCAAAAAUCGCCUAGGUUCUGAUUUUAGGGAAGGAGAUACGAGAAAAUGGCUAAAUUACAAUUCUAGUUCUUUUUUUUACUCACCGCCUUUGCGUUCGCGGGCUAGUGUCCGUGUUGCACAGAAAAAAGUCCCUUUCCCUAGUACCGACCAAAAAGGCCUUCGCCUUUGCGAUGGCAGGUCCUCAUUCACGAAAGGUAGCACCCCUAAGUCUUCGCAUUCACGAACUGUGUCUUGCGUUCCCAUGGAAGGAAUUUUCCUUCAGUCACACUUUGCUCUUCACGAUUGCGAGAGUUCCUUCGCGAAUGCAAAGAAGGAAUUACCUAGGCACCUGCAACAACUACGACAGCAGAAAUUCUAAGUUUCAAAAAACCCGAAAACCUCUUUGAAACUCACCAUAGUCCUCGGGAUCUAAACCAAACAUGUAUGCAAGUCUAAAAGUAUCAUACGGACUUGCUCGUGCGAUCAAAUCAUGAAAAUAACAUGUAAUACUAUGAAUUAAAUCUCACAACUCAUCAUUUUUCUCAAGAACACUGAAAGUUCAUUAUUUCCCAACCAGACGUCCAAAUCACGUCAAAUAUGCUCCAUUUUCACCAAAAUUCACAGUUAUCAUUUAAAUACUAUAACAAGUUUGUAUCGAGUUUUGAAAUCAAAAUAUGGGCCCGAUACUAAUUGUUUCACAUAUUAGUUCUUUUCUUUAUUUCACAAAUAAUUCAGUUUUAUUUCAAAAAUUAAUUUCAAAGACUUUCGACUUUGGAGUUCAUUUUCGGGUAUACGCCCAAGUCCCAUAUUUUACAGCGGACCUCCCGGGAUCGUCGAAAUACAGAUCUGGAUCCGUUUGCUCAAAAUGUUAACCAAAGUCAACCAUAAUUAAAUUUUAACUCUAGAAAUUUCUUUCUCAUAUUUUGACAUAAAAGAUUUCCAUAUAUACAUCCAGACCAUGCACACAAAUCGAGGUAAGUUAAAAGGAGGUUUUAGUGCCUCGUAACACAUAAUUUAUUUCUAAAAUAAGUGAUGACCUUUUGGGUCAUCAAAAUCAUACACCAAUAGCCAACAACAGUUCAUAAUAUAAAACAAUAAUAAACGAACUAACUUGGAAUUGAAAAUGCUCAGCUUACUCAUAAUUUCUAAAAAUAGUUCCGCUUUUCAAAUAUAACAGUGAAAACCCAAAUCCUUUGCCAAAAUCAUCAAAAAUAUGAGUAAGUUUGAAAUUUGAAAUUUUUCCCAAAAACCUUUCAUCAGGUAAAUAUUUCAUUUUCGGAUGGCAUGAGGAAAAUAUUUCUCAAUGACUACAUGUCAAGAUACAUGUAAAAUCAUGAAUAUCACCAAAAUCGGGAAACUAAAGGAAAUGCAUCUUUAUGUAUGCAUCACAAGUAUGCAUGUCAAAUGUAAUGCCUCUAAGUGAUGAGCUCAUGUAAUCACACUCUUAGAGUAGUCAACCUGACUAUCUCACAUUAUCUCUUAUCAUGCUCGAUUGUAGUGAAUCGACUGGUCAUUUCUAGCUCUAGCGCAUUGUUCAGUAGCUUAAGGCCAUGAACAGUUUCUCUUCAAGUAUUAUGACUUAUACGCUAGUCGUAAUUGAGAUUCACGAAUUCCGUAGUUGAAUUGGUAAGAGAAUUCUCAUUUCAGAAGCUUAAAGUUGGAAGCACCGGGUUGAGUUUUUCCUGAGGUACUAUUGCUCACUACUACUAUUUACACAAAAAUGAAAAGAAAAAUAGACUCAAACUCAUAAGAAGGUUGUCAUGCCAUAUAUCACCGAGAAGAUCCACCCGGUUCACACAGACUCCACUUUUGGAAAGAACAGUGGCAUUAAGAAAACCAAAGGCUAUAAUCAGAAAAAACUUCUUAAAUAAGAAGCUACGAACCGAAAAAGAAGCCACUAAAUGAAAUAAGAAGCUAUACUAUUAAGGAAAAAUGCAAAACAAGUUAUGAAGUAAAAUGUGAAAAGUAACUAAAUAUAUACAAUAGGGUAUUUGCACGAAUAUAUAUAUGACGAAAUUAAUAUAUACAUGAGAGCGUAACUUUAUAUAUUGAACAAGAUUGAAAAAUAACCAAUAGUGAAAUAAAUGUUAAAGUUAUAUACAUACCAAAAGUGAAAAAUAAGCAUGAAGAAAAAAAAUAGUAUCAUCACUACAAACCAACUACCAAAUCAUCAAAGUAGGACCACCCCCUCAAAUGAAAACUACCAUUGUCCUCAAUGCUAACUAACUAAAAAUAAGAUAAAAAAGAAGGGUAGAGAGUAAAGAAACCUCCUUAUGGGUCCUUUGUCUUCAUGGGGUCCUGUGGCUGGGUCCCUAAAUCACCUGGCUGGGGGGCCUGUGUCUGGCCAGAGGCACCUCCCUCAGGAUACUCAAGCUCAAUCUCUACAUCAUCAACCGGGGCAUCACUCUCAUCCUCCUAGGCUCACCCUAAGACUCAUGUUCCUGAACAUGCUCUGCCUUACCUGCUGGAAAUGGAUCCUCCAAUAAAAGCUCUAAAGGAAAGUCACCAACUGGCUUAAUCUUCUCCAUUGAAUACCAGGUAUUCAUUGAUCGUCUUCCCAUAAAACGUGAUGUUCAAGUUUCACACCUUAGUCACUUUUGUGCCCUUUUUUAUAUGGGAGGCGUUGGCAUAGAAUUCCUUGACUUGAUGCUCUUUAGCAUCUGGCACCUUGCUAGUGAAGUUCUCCCAUUCCACUUGUUCAUUGAAAUGCUGCUCCAUAUUAGGAUUGCGAGGUAGAAGAUAUUGCUAUAUGAAAUGGUGCUCAUUAAUGAGUGACUAUUGAGGCCACCACUGCCUGAAAUUAUAGUAUGCUAACUCAGUGAUGAUCCUAUGUUGCAACUCCUCCAGGUUUAUGGUCCAUUACACACCUAGAGAGGACUCUGCUUUCCUCUUUUGUUUCUCACAGCCACCUCUACGUUUAGCCAUUGUCUACAAACACAUUCAGUGGAAGAGAGUGUUACUACUGGUGUUAGAAAAGUUAGUGAAGAAAAAUGGAAGAACAACACACAGUGCAUGGAAAAAAAUUACAGAUCGCUGACAACGAAAAUGAAGCACGAACGCGAAAUGAUCACUGCUGAACGUGGAAAAUGCAUCGUGGCCGUGGAGAUGAGGGAAUUAGACUACCCACCCUCUAAAUCAAUUGCAUCGCUAAGCGCAGUAACUUGAGUGUGGUCGUGGUGGUUAACUACGAAAACUCAAUCGCGACUGCGGACCCUUAUUUUUACUUCUCUGAACUUGAGCACCGUGGACCACGAGAAAAGCACCGCGGCCUUGGAGAGGCACCACUGUCACUGAAACUUGGUGGUGCUGACCGUGGUUAAUAGUACUUCCUACUUAGAUAAAACUUAUAAACGUUGACCGCAAAAGCCAAAAUCGAGCUCAUCAAACCUGUGGUUUUAGAUUUUCAUGCAUUUAGUAAUCUCCUCUACAUUUUAAACCUCAUUAGGUAUUCAUUAUUAACUAAUAACUAUAUUAAGCCUAUUUUAAUUAAAAUUAAGGAGCCCUAAGUUAAAAUUAAAAGAAAAAGAGAAAGACAAAGCAAAAACUAACAAAUAAAAGGAAAGCAAGAACAAAUUGAAUAAAAUUAUAAAAUAAAUUUACCAGUUGAUUGAUGAGUGAUGGGAGGUGGACUUCUAAAUUGUGGUUUGUGCAUCUUAGGGCUUGAAUGAACUGUGAAAUAUUAGGUUUGAGAGAGAAAAGAUCGAAAUGUGUGCAAAACUUCAUGAUCUUCUAUUUAUAGAAAACAUACUGGGCCCACGAAACUUACUUGGCGCGGUUGCAGUAGAUCAUUGUGGACUGCGCUGAAGACACAUAGAAAGGAUAUAUUACUUACCCUGCCCUCGAGAGCAGAAAAUGCACUGAGGUAGUGGAAGGCCAUCGCUGAUCGGGAAAAAAACACACCGCGGGCAUAAAUGAAACUUCAGAGAAGCCUCAUUUUGGACUUCCCAAUCUCGCAUCCGCCAUCAAAUUCCGCUUCCGUGAUAAGUCCACCGCUAAUAGUGGAAAAUGGAACAUUGUCAGAGGUCCAACUUCAGAAUGUUGUAAACAAUAAUUUCCCACUUAGUCCUGCAUAGUAUUAAAUAUUCUUACCUACAUCUCACAACCAGUAAGUUCAAAAUAAAGCCUACACUAAGAAGAAAAUCAAAAAGAAGAAAAAAACACAUGGGUUGUUUCCCAUGAAGCUCCUGAUUUAAUGGCGCGGCACGAUAGAGGUUACCAUCACUCACUUGAGAUGGAUCAUUUCCACCACGUGACCAUCACUAAAAUUUCCAAGAUAGUGCUUCAUCCUGUGCCUAUUAAUUCUAAAUAUUUCAAAUUUUUUGUUUUCAAAUAAAGAGCACCAAAUGGAGUCACAAGCACCACUUCAAAAGGUCCACUCCAUUUUGACUUGCCGAGAACAAUCAUAACCGGCAGUUGAAUUAAAGAACCAUAUCACCCACUUUGAAUUUCUUGCUACGGGCAUACUUGUCAUUUAAGUAUUUUAUCUUGUCCUUAUACAAGGACGAGCUCGAAUAGGCAUGAAAUCGAAACUCAUCAAGAUCUAUUAGUUGCUCCACCUAGAGAUUUGUUGCAGCAUCCCAUUCAAGAUUUAACUUUCUUAAAGGGCAACAUGGCCUUGUGCUCUAACUCAACUUGGAGAUGGCAGGUGUUCCCAAACACCAACAAGUACGGAGACAUACCAAUCAGAGUCUUGUAAGUAGUCCUGUAACCCACAAAGCAUCAUCUAGCUUAUUUGACUAGUCAAUCGUAUUUGUACUAAAUGGCUUAGACAAUAUGCUCUUUGUCUCCCUAUUGAAGACCUCAACUUGCCCACUAGGUUAUUGAUGGCAAAGUGUCGAAACCUUGUGAUUGACACCAUACAUUACAAGCAAAGUGUCAAAUGCCUUAUUGAAGAAAUGAGACCUCCUAGCACUGAUGAUUGCUCUAGAAGUGCCAAACCGAGUAAAGAUACUCUUAUCAAGAAAAACCACCACACUCUAGGCCUCGUUGUUGGGUUAAGCCACGGCCUAAAUCCACUUGGAAACAUAAUAAUAAACCACUAGAAUGUACAUAUUGCCACAAGAACUUACAAACGGACCCAUGAAGCCAAUGCCACUCAUCAAAUAUGUCAACCUCAAGAAUAGUGGUGAGAGGCAUUUCAUUCUUGUUAGAAAUUCCACUUGCUCUCUGACACUCAUCACACUUCUUCACAAGCUUAUUCGUCUCCCUGUUUAAUGUAGGGCAAUAAAAACAACAACUAAGAACCUUUGAAACUGUCCUUGCCCCGCCAUGAUAACCACCAUAGAGAGAGCAAUUACAAGCAUCCAGAAUACUCAUUUGCUCCUCUUCCGGAACGCAUCUCCAGAUCACACCAUCAUUACAAAUUUUGAACAAGUAAGGCUCAUCCCAGUAAUAUUCCAAGCUAUCUCGUUUAAGCUUCUUCCUUUGGUUAGAAGAGAGCUCAUACGGAACAAUACCAAUCAUAAGAAAGUUGACAACAUCAACAAACCAAGGCUUGCUAUUCGCAGAUAUAGAGAGGAGUUGUUCAUCAGGGAAUGAAUCAUUAAUUUCAAGGCCAUCACGAGGCCUCCCCUAUUCCUCCAAGCGGGACAAGUGGUCUGCCACUUGGUUUUCACUCCCUUUCUGAUCAAUAAUAUCAAGCUCAAACUCUUUAAGCAAUAGAAUCCAUCUCAUCAACCGGGCCUUAGAAUCCUUCUUUGUCAUUAACUAGUGGAGUGCUACAUGGUAAGUGUGAAUUAUCACGUUGGCACCCAUGAGAUAAGGUUUAAACUUUUCCAUUGCAAACACAAUUGGUAGAAACUCUUUUUCUGUCACCGUGUAAUUCACUUGAGCAUCAUUCAUUUUUUUGCUUGGAUAAUACACCAGGUGAAACAUCUUAUUUACUCUUUAACCCAAGACCGCUCCUACAGCAACAUCACUUGUGUUACACAUGAGCUCAAAAGGUAAUCUCAAAUUGGGUGCGGUGACAAUGGGAGUGGUUGUCAUUUUUUUCCUGGGAAGUUCAAAAGAUGUCAUGCAUCCCUUAUUAAACACGAACUUUGCAACCUUUUCCAAUAACUUGCACAAAGAAUUAACUACCUUAGAGAAGUGUUUGAUAAAUCUUUAGUAGAACCCCGCAUGUCCAAGUAAACUCCUAACCCCCUUGACUGAGGUAGGAGGAGGAAGCUUUGAAAUCAUUAUAAUCUCAGCCUUGUCCACUUAUAUUCCAUUCUUUGAGAUCAUAUGGCCGAGGACAAUUCCCUCCUUGAUGAUGAAGUGGCAUUUUUCUCAGUUGAGCACAAGAUUUAUCUCUUCACGUUGGGGCAACACUUUUUCAAGAUUCUUCAAACACUCAUCAAUGGAGUCACCCAUAACAUUGAAAUCAUCCAUGAAUAGUUCCAAGAAAUCCUCCACCAUGUCGGUAAAUAUAGCCAUCAUACACCGCUGGAAGGUAGCCGGCAUAUUAUACAAAUAAAAUGGCAUUCUACAAAAUACAAAGGUGUCAUACGGACAUGUGAAUGUGGUUUUCCCAGCAAGUCUAUCUAGAAUUAGGUCAAGAAAGCACAAUGGAAAAUGAUCCGUGGGGGUCACUUUAUUCAGCUUUUGGUAGUCCAUGAACACCCUCCAUCCAGUGACAGUCCUAGUGGGAUUAAACUUAUUUUUCUCAUUGAUAAUUGUAGUCAUACCACCCUUCUUCAGCAUAUAUUGCACUGGUGGAGUCCAAGAACUAUCUGAGAUGGGGUACAAAACCCCUACAUCAAGCCACUUAAUCACCUCCUUUUUGACAACCUCUUGCAUAGCGUUGUUCAACCUCCUUUGAUGUUGCUCGGUGGGCUUGGCAUCAUCUUCAAGUAUAAUAUGCAAAAGGUGGGGCUUAUCCCACGAAUACCAUCUAGAGUCCAUCCAAUUUCCUUCUUCAAUUAUUGAAGCACCACUAAUGUGGCGUCUACCUAUAUGUUAGUAAGACAAAAAGAAACAAUAACAGGAAAAGUUGAAAGUGGGCUCAAGAAUAAUACCUGAGGUGUGAGGGCAAUGUCUUUAAAACCAAAGCGGCAGGUUCCUCAAUUGAGAGCAUUGUUGUCCUAGUCUUUCUGUUCUCAAGAUCAAAAGAGAGCUUACGAGGCUCAUAAGAGUAAGAGCCCAUUUUUUGCAAAGCAUUAACACAAUCCACACUGCCUUCAUCCUCAUUAAUAUCAAGGUUUAAUAAUACCGCUUCUAAUGGAUCCUCCACAUUGAUCAUGGCACUAGUAUCAUCAAUUACCUCCUCCAUGAUAAGAUCCACAAAAGAGAACACUUUAAUACUAUUCUACUUCUUCAUUUAUUUGCACACAUGAAAGACCACGUUUUCAUUACUCACCCUUACAGUGAGCUCCCCUGAUUCCACAUCAACCAAUUCAUUCCCAGUUGCAAUGAAAGGUCCUCCCAAAAUUAUAAAUAUCUCAUAGUCGACUUCACAGUAAAUAAUCACAAAAUCAGUAGGCAAGAUAAACUUGUCCACUUGGACGAGAUCAUCAUCAAUAAUACAAAGUGACCUUUUCAUAUUUCUAUCCGCCAUUUGCAAUCUCAUUGAAGUAGCUCACGGUUGACUAACACCCACAGUUUUUAACAUGCAGGCAUCAAAUUGAUACUUACUCCCAAACCACACAAUGCCUUUGCAAAAUCCACACUUCCAAUGGUACAUGGAAUAGUGAAAGCACCAGGAUCUUCAAGCUUUGGAUCCAUAGGGUGCACAAUUGAACUUACUUGAUGAGUCAUUUUGAGAGUCUCACAAUUCAUGGAUAUCUUUCUAGUCACAAGUAUUCAUGAACUUGGCAUAACCCAUCAUUUUCUCAAGAGCUUCCACCAAAAGAACAUUGAUUGAAAAGUUUGACAUCAUCUCAAUAAACUUCUUAAAUUGGUUUUCACUCUUUUUCUUUGCAAGCCUUUGAGUGUAAGGUGGAAGAGGCCUUGGCAAGGAGACUUUGCCUUGGGCACUACCAUUUUCGAUAUGUCUAUUAUGUAUUCCCUAUACCGGUUCACAUCAUCUUGAGUCUCCACCUUAUUAUCAUAAACAUCAAUCCUCACUCGCGCAUUCAAAUUCUCUUCACUUCUCAUCAACCAUCAUCAUCUUGCACUUCAAGCUCAUCACUCACAAGUUUCUUUGGUUGGAGGUAUUCAUAUCACCACCUCGACUGCUUCUAGUAAUCACCACCAUUGUAUGAAUGGUGUUGUUCUCACCCUCCGUGUUUACCAUCGUAUCACUAAAUACAGCCCCAUUAGGGCGAGAAUCAAAGAUUGCAAAAUCAGGCCAUAUUGAACCUCCAAAUUUUGAUUGAAGUAUUGUGGAAUGCCAACUAGGCAUCAGAGUCGGUGUUCUUUUUCAUCAUUUAUUCAAACAUUAUAUCGAUCCUUCUCAUCUCAUUGUUUGACAAUCUAGGACCUUGGGAAGGAAAUGAAGGUGGGUUGUUUGUUUUUUGACACACUGGAGGUAUUUAAAAGCCUUUCCUCUAAUUCCCUUGGUUGCUAUUAUUCCAAACCCCUUGGUUGUUGUGUUCGCCCCAAUUGUUAUUGUUUCCACUCCAGUUGCCCUAGUUUUUCUGAUUACCCUAAUUAUGAAUGUUGUCCCCCCCCCNNNNNNNNNNNNNNNNNNNNNNNNNNNNNNNNNNNNNNNNNNNNNNNNNNNNNNNNNNNNNNNNNNNNNNNNNNNNNNNNNNNNNNNNNNNNNNNNNNNNNNNNNNNNNNNNNNNNNNNNNNNNNNNNNNNNNNNNNNNNNNNNNNNNNNNNNNNNNNNNNNNNNNNNNNNNNNNNNNNNNNNNNNNNNNNNNNNNNNNNNNNNNNNNNNNNNNNNNNNNNNNNNNNNNNNNNNNNNNNNNNNNNNNNNNNNNNNNNNNNNNNNNNNNNNNNNNNNNNNNNNNNNNNNNNNNNNNNNNNNNNNNNNNNNNNNNNNNNNNNNNNNNNNNNNNNNNNNNNNNNNNNNNNNNNNNNNNNNNNNNNNNNNNNNNNNNNNNNNNNNNNNNNNNNNNNNNNNNNNNNNNNNNNNNNNNNNNNNNNNNNNNNNNNNNNNCCCCCCCCGGUCGCUAUUUUCUUAUUGGUUUUGAUUACCCCAAUUUCCUUGGGAUCUGCACUGUUAUUGUUGGUUAGGAGCAUUGCCCAUUAGUCCAUGGUAGUUGUUAACAUUAUAGACCUCUUGACUUCGCUCAUCAUAGCCAUGAUCUUAGUUGAAACUACCACUACCAUGUUCAUACUGAUGUGUACUACCUUGACCUUGUUGACCUCUUUGUCGCCUAUUGUUGAACAACAUGUUGACAUAUUCCAUAGUAUAUACUUGUCUCGACACUUGAACUUGUUGCAAUUGAACUUUUCCUAACUGGCUCACUGUUGUAGUUAACUCUGCUAUUGCCUGACCAUGGUCAUGGAGCUCUUUGUGUAGGUGAAUGAUAGUGGGGUCACCCUGUGGCACAUUAGCUCAACUUUUCCAAGUUGGUGAAGUAUUUGUCAUGUCAUCCAAUAUCUGACACCCCUCAGCAUAAGGUGUGUUCAUAAAAGUUUCCCUGCUAGCUAUUUCACUAUACACUGAUUGGUCAUGUCAAUGCCAUGUUAAAAAGUAUGUGGGAUUAUUGUUUCGGUCAUGUCAUCAUUUGAACAUUCUUUCACCAUUAUCUAAUAUCUCUCCCAAAUCUCAUAAAGUGGUUCAUUAGAUUCCUUUAUAAAGGCCAAAAUCUCAUCUCUUAAAGUCACCAUAUGCCCUCGCAAGAGAAACAUAGCUAUAAAAUUGUCAGCUAACUCAUUCCACGUAGUGAUGGAAUGGUUGGGAAGCCUUUUGAAUCAGUCUAAAGCUUUCCCUCAAAGUGAAAAAAGGAACAAUCUCAAUCUCAAUGCAUCCUCCAACACAUUGGUCUGUUUGCUUCGCCAUCAAGUAUCUACAAAGCCUUUAAGUUGUUUAUAUGCAUUCUGAUAGGGAGAGCCUAUAAAAUACCCUCACUGCUCAAAUUAAGUCAACAUCACAUUUGUAAAUUGAAAAUUGCCCGCCCUGGUCUGAGGUGGGACAAUUGCACUUACGUAUCCUUUAUAUGGAAGUCAUGACCGCUUUAGUGGUGGACCAUCCACGUCCGUGGUUGUUUCUUCGCUGUCAGCUCUCUUUUGACCAAGCUUUUGAACUUGUGUAGGUUUCACUCCUUUUUAAGCUGGUUAUCUCUUUUUGACCAAACAUAGCAAACAAGUACAGUAAGUUAGCUUUUAGGAAUACGUGUACCCACUUUUAAUCCAAAACUUAAGCAGAAUGUAGAAUAAAAUAGGCUAGAAUCCCUACUUAUCACUUUCUUCAGCAGAUAGAGAUUCAGGAGUGGAAGUGUGAACGGAUCACCAUGGUCUUCAUAGUUGGACUCACACGGACUUUGAGGAUGUUUGAUGCCCUUUGGGUUAUUGUGCAUUGGCUGACAAAGUCCGUUCACUUCAUUCCUGAGUGUACUACUUAUUCUUCAGAGCGAUUGACUGAGAUUUAUAUCCAGGAGAUUGUUCCUCUCCAUGGUAUUCUAGUUUCCAUCAUUUAAGAUAGAGGUACUCAGUUCACAUCACGGUUCUGAAGGACUGUAUAGCAUACGUUGGGUACCCGGGUAGAGUUGAGCACAAGAUUUCACCCCUAGAUGGAUGGAUAGUUCGAGUGCACACUAUUCAGAUUCUUAAGGAUACAUCCAUGUGUGUGUGAUAGAUUUUGGAGGUUCUUGGAAUCAAUUCUUACCAUUUGCAAAGUUUGCCUACAAUAACAGUUACCAAUCUAGCAUUCAGAUGGUACCAUAUGUGGCUCUAUGUGGUAGGCAAUGUAAAUCCCCGAUGGGUUGGUUCGAGCUAGGCAAGGCUAGAUUAUUGGGCACAAACAUGGUUCAAUACGCUUUGGAGAAGGUUAAGGUGAUUCAGGAUAGAACUCGCACAACCUAGUCCAAAUAGAAGAGUUAUGCAGAUCGGAAGGUUCGUGAUAUUUCAUUUAUGGUUAGCAAGGGGGUCUUGCUUCAGGUCUCGCCUAUAAAGAGUGUUAUUAGAUUUGGAAAGAAGGGAAAAUUUUGUCCAUGGUUUAUUGGUCCCUUUGAGGUAUAGGGGGAGGUUGCUUAUGAGCUUGUGUGACCUCCCAGCUAGGUAGGAGUAUGUCUGGUAUUUCAUGUUUUGAUGCUUCCGAGAUAUCACGGUGACCCAUCGCACGUGUUGGAUUUCAAUAGAUUUCAGCAGGACAAAGAUCUAUCUUAUGUUGACAUGCCGGUCGUUUUUAGAACUAACACCCCGAUCUCCUAUUAACUGCUUUCCCGCUUUUAUUUAUGCUAUUGUGAUUUGCCGGGAUAAUUCAUUUUGAUUUUCUAAGUGUUUUGGGGCACUUAGUCCCUAGAUGAGAGUGUAAGCUUUAAAAUUUGGACUGUAAUUGGAGCAGUGCGAAAGCAUCUCUGAAAUGGAAUUUUGUCAAUUCCGCUUGCAUUGUCGGGACAUUCAGGCUUAGGGCCAUGUAUGGAUUGUAUUUUGGAGGUCUCGAUAGUGAAAUUUUAAUAUCGAGGUCGAAAUCCAAUUCUGAAAGUUAUGAUAGGUUUGUAUUGUUAAACGUGACUUGUGUGCAAAAUUUGGGUCUAUCAGACGUGAUUUGGUUGGUUUCUACGUCAGUUGUAGAAUUUUGAAAUUUCAAGUUCAUUAAAUUUUGAUUGUACGAUGAUUUGUAGUUUUAGCAUUGUUUGAUCUGAUUUUAGGGCUCGACUAACUUCGCAUGGUGUUUUAGGAUUGCUUGGUAUGUUUGGUUGAGGUCCCCGAGACCUCGGGUGUUUUUGGAAUGCUUACUGAGUCAUUUUUGUACUUAGAAGGAUAGCCAAUUUUGCUGGUUUUUCUGUUGCAGACAUUUGUCCUUCACGUUCGCGAAUAGGAGAUCGUGUUCACAAAAGUUAUAAGUGGAAACAUCACGAAUCCAAGGAGCUGAGCACGUUCGCAAAAAGGAAAGGCAGAGCAGCAGGGAGCUUAGAAAGUUGCUAUAUGCGCUCACGAGUAAGGGGUCGCAUUUGCAAAGGUUCUGCAGUUAAGCUAUGCGUUCACGAUUGGACCCUCGUGUUCACGAAGAGGAAUUUGGCCCAAUGGGAUUUUUGUUCAUCGUGUUCGUGAAGAAAAACACAUAUGGGCAGAAUUUAAAUUUAAAAAUUAAAGGUUUGAGUUCAUAACUCAAUACAUGGAGAGCUCGGUCAGAGGCGAGAUUUGGAGAUAUUUUUGGAGGAAGUGUGUGGGU